UAUGGUCAAGUGAAGAAGCGCAUACGGUGGAUGCCUUGGCAGUCAGAGGCGAUGAAAGACGUGGUAGCCUGCGAAAAGCUUCGGGGAGUCGGCAAACAGACUGUGAUCCGGAGAUGUCUGAAUGGGGGAACCCAGCCAUCAUAAGAUGGUUAUCUUGUACUGAAUACAUAGGUGCAAGAGGCGAACCAGGGGAACUGAAACAUCUAAGUACCCUGAGGAAAAGAAAUCAACCGAGAUUCCCUUAGUAGUGGCGAGCGAACGGGGACUAGCCCUUAAGCUUCUUUGAUUUUAGCGGAACGCUCUGGAAAGUGCGGCCAUAGUGGGUGAUAGCCCUGUACGCGAAAGGAUCUUAGAAGUGAAAUCGAGUAGGACGGAGCACGAGAAACUUUGUCUGAAUAUGGGGGGACCAUCCUCCAAGGCUAAAUACUACUGACUGACCGAUAGUGAACUAGUACCGUGAGGGAAAGGCGAAAAGAACCCCGGAGAGGGGAGUGAAAUAGAUCCUGAAACCGUAUGCGUACAAGCAGUGGGAGCCCACUUUGUUGGGUGACUGCGUACCUUUUGUAUAAUGGGUCAGCGACUUAUUUUCAGUGGCGAGCUUAACCGAAUAGGGGAGGCGUAGCGAAAGCGAGUCUUAAUAGGGCGUCUAGUCGCUGGGAAUAGACCCGAAACCGGGCGAUCUAUCCAUGGGCAGGUUGAAGGUUAGGUAACACUGACUGGAGGACCGAACCGACUACCGUUGAAAAGUUAGCGGAUGACCUGUGGAUCGGAGUGAAAGGCUAAUCAAGCUCGGAGAUAGCUGGUUCUCCUCGAAAGCUAUUUAGGUAGCGCCUCAUGUAUCACUGUAGGGGGUAGAGCACUGUUUCGGCUAGGGGGUCAUCCCGACUUACCAAACCGAUGCAAACUCCGAAUACCUACAAGUGCCGAGCAUGGGAGACACACGGCGGGUGCUAACGUCCGUCGUGAAAAGGGAAACAACCCAGACCGUCAGCUAAGGUCCCAAAGUUAUGGUUAAGUGGGAAACGAUGUGGGAAGGCUUAGACAGCUAGGAGGUUGGCUUAGAAGCAGCCACCCUUUAAAGAAAGCGUAAUAGCUCACUAGUCGAGUCGGCCUGCGCGGAAGAUGUAACGGGGCUCAAACCAUACACCGAAGCUACGGGUAUCACGCAAGUGAUGCGGUAGAGGAGCGUUCUGUAAGCCUGUGAAGGUGAGUUGAGAAGCUUGCUGGAGGUAUCAGAAGUGCGAAUGCUGACAUGAGUAACGACAAUGGGUGUGAAAAACACCCACGCCGAAAGACCAAGGUUUCCUGCGCAACGUUAAUCGACGCAGGGUUAGUCG
rnacentral:rRNA from 1 species